rnacentral:lncRNA from 1 species
AUGUUAAAGCCAAGAGUGGCCUUGAAGCAGAUCUGGCCCAAGGAGGAAAUCAUCCCCAAGGUGAAGCAACUCUGCCCCAGGCCUGCAGCAAGGUGGGGAUGGCCCCAUCUUUCUUGCUUUUGCUGGUUCCUUCCUCUCAGCUCCACUGGGGGACACUGUGACCCCAAUACCCGCUGCAGGUGGAGCCCUGGUCUAAUGCUCUCUCACCUGGCUCCACAUCCCUCUCUCUCUCUCUCUCUGUCUCUCUGUAACUCUGCUUUUCAAAUAAAUGUCUUAAAAAUUAUAUUAGAGUUUAUAUUUAGGAGAUCUACUUGGAUCUCUUAUAUAUGUGAACAUUUUUUAAAGAUGGCAUGAUCCUAUAUAUAGAUCUUAUUCCAUGUUUUAUUUUAAAUAAUUUAAGAAUUUCAAAUAUUUGUUUGAAAUUUUUAUUUCAUAAUAGCAACAUCUGAUGAUUUUUUGCACCUAACUUUCCUGUUUAUAUUUUCUGUGGACUCUUAUUCAUAGUGGAUUAUUUCUUUUUUUUUAACUUUUAUUUAAUGAAUAUAAAUUUCCAAAGUACAGAAUAUUGAUUACAAUGACUUCCCCCCCAUAACGUCCCUCCAACCCGCAACCCUCCCCUUAUCUACUCCCUCUCCCCUUCCAUUCACAUCAAGAUUCAUUUUCAAUUCUCUUUAUAUACAGAAGAUUAGUUUAGCAUACAUUAAGUAAAGAUUUCAACAGUUUGCUCCCACACAGAAACAUAAAGUGAAAAAUACUGUUUGAGUACUAGUUAUAGCAUUAGAUCUCAAUGUACAGCACACUAAGGACAAAGAUCCUACAUGAGGAGUAAGUGCACAGUGACUCCUGUUGUUGACCUAACAAAUUGACACUCUUGUUUAUGGCAUCAGUAAUCACCCUAGGCUCUUGUCAUGAGCUGCCAAGGCUAUGGAAGCCCCCUGAGUUCACUGACUCUGAUCAUUUUUAGACAAGGCCAUGGUCAAAGUGGAAGUUCUCUCCUCCCUUCAGAGAAAGGUACCUCCUUCUUUGAUGACCCAUUCUUUCAUAGUGGAUUAUUUCUUACACAUUAUAUAACUUGAUUGUGAAUUCACCUCAUUUGGAAUUCUUUAAGCACUGACCUAAGAUGAGUAUUCUAAGAAAUAUUUGUGUUUGCCUCUAUCCUUCGACUGGGGGUGCUAAAGACAUGAUUUCCUUUUAUUAAAAAUUUUUUUUUAUUUUUUUUAUUUUUUUUUAUUUUUUUUUAACUUCUAUUUAAUGAAUAUAAAUUUCCAAAGUACGAUUUAUGGAUUACAAUGGCUUCCCCCCCAUACCGUCCCUCCCACCCACAACCCUCCCCUUUCCCACUCCCUCUCCCCUU